rnacentral:rRNA from 1 species
GGGUUGUGAGGUUAAGCGACUAAGCGUACACGGUGGAUGCCCUGGCAGUCAGAGGCGAUGAAGGACGUGCUAAUCUGCGAUAAGCGUCGGUAAGGUGAUAUGAACCGUUAUAACCGGCGAUUUCCGAAUGGGGAAACCCAGUGUGUUUCGACACACUAUCAUUAACUGAAUCCAUAGGUUAAUGAGGCGAACCGGGGGAACUGAAACAUCUAAGUACCCCGAGGAAAAGAAAUCAACCGAGAUUCCCCCAGUAGCGGCGAGCGAACGGGGAGCAGCCCAGAGUCUGAAUCAGUGUGUGUGUUAGUGGAAGCGUCUGGAAAGGCGCGCGAUACAGGGUGACAGCCCCGUACACAAAAAUGCACAUGCUGUGAGCUCGAUGAGUAGGGCGGGACACGUGGUAUCCUGUCUGAAUAUGGGGGGACCAUCCUCCAAGGCUAAAUACUCCUGACUGACCGAUAGUGAACCAGUACCGUGAGGGAAAGGCGAAAAGAACCCCGGCGAGGGGAGUGAAAAAGAACCUGAAACCGUGUACGUACAAGCAGUGGGAGCCUCUUUAUGGGGUGACUGCGUACCUUUUGUAUAAUGGGUCAGCGACUUAUAUUCUGUAGCAAGGUUAACCGAAUAGGGGAGCCGAAGGGAAACCGAGUCUUAACUGGGCGUUAAGUUGCAGGGUAUAGACCCGAAACCCGGUGAUCUAGCCAUGGGCAGGUUGAAGGUUGGGUAACACUAACUGGAGGACCGAACCGACUAAUGUUGAAAAAUUAGCGGAUGACUUGUGGCUGGGGGUGAAAGGCCAAUCAAACCGGGAGAUAGCUGGUUCUCCCCGAAAGCUAUUUAGGUAGCGCCUCGUGAA